GACUCCAGUUCAGAAGUUGUUCUAGUGAGCGUUGAUGGCCAUAUAUUGACAGCGCCUAUCUCAUCAUCUGAAAGGAAUUCAGAAGAUGUCGAGUUAGACACACCUCAGUUUCAUCUGGGACCUGGUCAGGGGACUGAUUUUUGUGAUGAUAGCUCAGAAUUUAAUUCGGGUGAUAGUACAUGGGCUGAUGAUUAUUUCAGCAAUCUGAACUCAUCCAAAGUUGCAUCAGGGGACACUUGCGACGUGAAAAAUGAGAGCACUACAGUUGAGCACCAGUUAGAAGUUUCUGAAGUAGAUGGGAAACAUCUUGAUCGAACUCCGGAAGAUGACCUGAAGAACCGGGAAGAAGAUCUUUCCAUGAAGAGUACUGUGGAGAGCACAUCAUGCA
rnacentral:misc_RNA from 1 species